rnacentral:rRNA from 1 species
GACGAACGCUGGCGGCGUGCCUAAUACAUGCAAGUUGAGCGAAGAGGCGUGGUGCUUGUACCACCGAGAUGAGCAGCGAACGGGUGAGUAACGCGUGGGUAACCUACCUAUGAGAGGGGGACAACUUCGGGAAACGAGUGCUAAUACCGCAUAAUAUCUUUAAACACAUGGUUUAAGAUUGAAAGACGGUAUUGCAUCAACUUAUGGAGAUACCGCGUUCGAUUUAGCUGUUGGGGAGGGAAACGGCCUCCAAGGCGAUGAUACAUAGCCGACCUGAAGAGGUGGUCGGCCACCAUGGGACUGAGAAACGGCCCAAACUCCUAAGGGAGGCAGCAGUAGGGAAUCUUCCGGAAAGGACGAAAGUCUGAACGAACCACGGCGCCGGGGUUGAGGAGGUUUUCGGGUCGUAAAACUCUGUUGGUAGGGAAGAACGAUGGGGGGAAUUGAAUGCGCACCAAGUGACGGUAACUAACCAGAAAGGCACGGCUAACUACGUG